rnacentral:rRNA from 1 species
GACGAACCGUGCGAACGUUAUUCGGAAUCACUGGGCUUAAAGCGCGUGUAGGCGGAUUGGCACGUCGGUUGUUGAAAGCCCCCGGCUCAACCGGGGAACAGGCACCGAUACGGCCAGUCUGGAGGGAGGUAGGGGGAGCCGGAACUUCCGGUGGAGCGGUGAAAUGCGUUGAGAUCGGAAGGAACGCCCGUGGCGAAAGCGGGCUCCGGGACCUCACAUGACGAUGAGACGCGAAAGCUAGGGGAGCAAACGGG